rnacentral:piRNA from 5 species
GGUGGUUCAGUGGUAGAAUUCUCGCCUG